AACGAACGCUGGCGGCAGGCUUAACACAUGCAAGUCGAACGCCCCGCAAGGGGAGUGGCAGACGGGUGAGUAACGCGUGGGAACAUACCCUUUUCUACGGAAUAGCUCUGGGAAACUGGAAUUAAUACCGUAUACGCCCUACGGGGGAAAGAUUUAUCGGGGAAGGAUUGGCCCGCGUUGGAUUAGCUAGUUGGUGGGGUAAAGGCCUACCAAGGCGACGAUCCAUAGCUGGUCUGAGAGGAUGAUCAGCCACAUUGGGACUGAGACACGGCCCAAACUCCUACGGGAGGCAGCAGUGGGGAAUAUUGGACAAUGGGCGCAAGCCUGAUCCAGCCAUGCCGCGUGAGUGAUGAAGGCCUUAGGGUUGUAAAGCUCUUUCACCGAUGAAGAUAAUGACGGUAGUCGGAGAAGAAGCCCCAGCUAACUUCGUGCCAGCCGCCGCAGUAAGAC
rnacentral:rRNA from 1 species